GAACUCUUUGGGAUGAAUCUCAAUCAUUCAGAACAACUUCUCGAGAAUGGUGGAAUUGCUAGCUUAUUUGGGAUAAAGGACAUGCCUGCUGCUGAUUAAGACUGUCAGACCACGGCAGCUGGUGCUGAGGGCUCAUCUGUUGGAUUGGUCAAUGCAAUUCAGCCAGCAUGCAGCAACGCGGCAUCUAGUGAUUCCAUGAUGAGUAAUAAAACCGAUUCAAUUCUGUAUUUUACCGCAAGGCAUGCCCAUCCAACAUUUUCUGGCCAAACUGGAGAGAGCACUGCAGGAGAUUACCAAGAUUGUGGGGCUUCCGCUAUGCUUCCCAUGGGAGAUCCUCCUUGGUGUACUCCAUGUGCUGAGAGCUCCAACCCAUCAGCAACUAGAAGUGAUGCUGCUUGCUCUACAAGGAAAAGAAGAAGACGCGAAUGUUUGAGAAGUGAGUGAGAUAUGAGUCUCGCAAAUCAAGGGCUGACGUGAGAAAGCGUGUGAAGGGACGAUUUGUCAAAGCUGGCAAUGCCUAUGAUUUUGAUCCAUUGAGCCCAACAAGAAGCUUUUGAGAGCUGUAUGGUUGUGCAUAAGGCUCCAGGUUUGUUUCAUCAGAAGUUGGAUGCUAAAAUGCCAUGAA